UACCUGCAGCUCGAGUGGUAACCGCUAUUAUUGGGCCUAAAGCGUCCGUAGCCGGUUUGGUAAAUAUCUGGGUAAAUCGUGAGGCUUAACUUCACGAAUUUCGGAUAGACUGCCAGACUUGGGAUCGGGGGAGGUCAGAGGUACUCCAGGGGUAGCGGUGAAAUGUUGUAAUCCUUGGAGGACCACCGGUAGCGAAAGCGUCUGACUAGAACGAGUCCGACGGUGAGGGACGAAGCCCUGGGGCGCAAACCGGAUUAGAUACCCGGGUAGUCCAGGGUGUAAACGAUGUGGGCUUUGUAUUGGAGGUCCACGUGGGCGUCCAGUGCAGAAGAGAAGUUGUUAAGCCCACCGCCUGGGAAGUACGGUCGCAAGGCUGAAACUUAAAGGAAUUGGCGGGGGAGGCACAGCAACGGGAGGAGCGUGCGGUUU
rnacentral:rRNA from 1 species